CUUGAAGGGAGAGCGGAAGAGGAGGAAAGGCAAGGAGCUCAGUUUUAGAGAGAAAGCAGGAGGACAUUCAGUCAGAGAUGGAAGAAAGGCAAGCAGUGACACGUUUAUAACUUUUUCUAGAAUGAUGUCCAAUAUUAGUUGCAAAUUGAGGAGACAGCUAUAGUAAUUAGAUUUGUCUGGAGGUAUGCCAAUAAUUUUGGGGAAAAUGG